AUGGACGGCAGUAACGAGCUGAUUUUGCCCUACAAGAGGAAGAACAAGGCUCGAGGGGAAGCCAAGUUUUCCCGGAAGGAAAAGCAAAAUAAGCUACUGCAAGCAAGAAGCAUCGAGAUUUUGCGGCACACUGAUCUCAACUUAUUCCGUUCAGAAUGUAAUCGUAGGAUUUCAGUUGAUGGAUAUUCGCUGCUGCAUGCCUCAGGCACUAUUGGUCAAGCUGAGAUUUUGAAAGAAAAACUUAGGUGGGCUGUGCCGUUCUCCAGGGCAGGUUUGAUUGUUCCUGAAGAACUCUCUUUAUUCAAGAAAGAUGGUUAUCAGAAAGAUUUUGAAAACAUUGACAGAAAAGGAAUUAUUUGUAUCACCCAACCACCGCGUAUUGCUGUUCUUGCCACAUCUAUGAGGGUUCCUUAUGAGCUAGGACUUAAGUUGGGAAAGGAACUUGGUUUUCAAGUUAGGCAUGAUAAAAUGGUCAGAAGUAAUUGCGCCAUCAAGUUUAUGACAGAUGGCGUUUUGCUGCGAGAGAUCCAGCGCUAUUCUGUAAUCAUCUUGGAUGUGGCACAUGAAAGGAGCUUGAACACAGAUAUACUUAUCGGGAUGCUGAGUUGUACAGAUUCUGCUACCUUGCAACUGAGGGAUUUCAUUUCAAACAGAAGCUUGUUUGAUGUGAUCCCACUAGCUUUAAAGGUACCUAUACGCCAAUUCCCAGUAGCAAUUCACUUCUCAAAGAGGACACACGAUGAUUAUUUAGGGGAUGCUUACAAAAAAGUUGUAGCAUCCAAGCAGCAGACUGACAGGAAGCCUGAAAAAGUUGAGGGAGAUGAGAGUAGCUCAAGCCCAGAAGUAGACGAGAAGGAAAUUUAUGAAGCAUAUGAUGACAUGUUUUCCACAUAUGAGGAAGAUGAGAUAAACUCUGGGCCAAAUGUAUAUUCUUCUGAUAUUGAAAUAGAGGGUGAGAUGGACACUGACAGUGAGGAUGAGGAUGGGUCAGUAUCAAAGUUUUUGGGAAGUGCUGAGGGUUCAUCUGCACUGAAGGCAUCAUUUAAGGCUAUAUCAAGAGCGCCAGGAGUACCAGAAAGUGUUGAGAAAUCGAGCGAUGCUACAAGUUUAGAACAGUCAAUUCCUUAUGUUCCUUGUUUCAGUAAAUGCACAAAACCUAUGUCUGUUUCACAUGGUAACCUUCGAGUGUUACCACUUUACGCAAUGUUACCAGCUUCACAGCAGCUUCAAGUGUUUCAGAAUACACCUGAGGAUGAAAGAUUAGUUGUUGUUGCAACAAAUGUAGCAGAGACCUCUCUAACAAUUCCUGACAUAAAAUAUGUAGUAGAUAAUGGGAAACAAAAAGUUAAGAACUACAAUCAUGCUACUGGGAUGGCGAGUUAUGAAAUACAAGCUGGAAGAACAGGGCCUGGGGAUUGUUACCGUCUCUACUCAGCUGCGGCAUAUGGUAAAGACAAAUUAUUCCCAGAGUUCUCUGAACCAGAGAUCAAAAGAGUUCCAGUCGAUGUAGUUGUGCUUAUGCUCAGGUUUAUGCGCAUUAAUGUGUCAAAAUUUCCCUUCCCUACACCUCCUAACAAUGAAAGUUUGGUUGAAGCUGAGCAUUCCUUGAAGGCGUUGGAAGCACUAGAUAGCCAGGUUAAACCUACACCCUUAGGGAAGGCUAUGGCACAGUACCCCAUGAGCCCACGACAUUCUCGUCUUCUUCUGACAACAAUUAAAAAUUUGAAGAGCCAGAAAGGCUUUGGCAGACCUAACUUCAUAUUGGGAUAUGCAGCAGCUGCUGCAUCGGCUUUGAGUUUUCUAAAUCCUUUUCUCAUGCAAAAUGAUUUUAGUGGUGAGCCAAAAGAACAUAACCCUGAUUUAGACAAUGAGGACCAACAGGAAAUUAAGAGACAAAAGAAGAAGAUCAAGGCCAUGGUUAGAGAUUCCCGUGCAAAAUUUGUCAAUCCCAGCAGUGAUGCUUUAACCAUUGCUCAUGCCUUGCGGUUGUUUGAGCUGUCAAAAAAUACAGUGGAAUUCUGUAGAAUGAACUCACUUCAUCUGAAAACAACGGAAGAGACGUCAAAAUUCAGGAAGCAACUUCUUCGAUUAAUAUUUCUCCAUACUAAAUCUUGUGAGGAGUUUUCUUGGAAAUUUGGGGAUUAUGAGGAUGUUGAAGAGGCUUGGAGGAAGGAAAUUCUAGGGGAAGGGAUAUGUGCUGGGUGGGCUGAUAGAGUUGCAAAGAGGAUCCACACUUUCUCUGCAUCAUCAGAAGAUGCAAGGAAGAUUCGAGCUGUUCAUUACCAAUCCUGUGCUCUCAGUGAUACAAUAUAUCUCCACCUAUCUUCUUCUGUUGUCCGAACUGCACCGGAGUUUGUAUUUUUCCUUAAUAAAAACAGACCAUACAUGCAUGGUGUAACCAGUAUAAAGCCAUCCUGGCUUUUGAAAUAUGCUAGUUCUCUAUGCACCUUUUCCGCACCAUUGGAAGAUCGAGAAAUGUAUUACGACCCUAAAAAGGACCAAGUCUACUGUUUUCUUCCCCUGCAUAGCUUACCUGUGAAUGAUGGCUCCACUCGAUCGCAGGUAUUUGCCUGUUCUCCAGAUUUUCUUUAUCCUGAGAUCAAAGCUUGUUUUCAGGAGUUUCACAGCCAGUUUGGAGCAUUAUGGGGAAAAUGCACCGGGAGAUUCGUCUUGAGGGCGAGGAUCUUAUUCCAAAGGGGUCCAAGUGUUAAACAUAAUAGUGUACAGGUUAUUAGCGUGGCCUUGAGGCACACGGCGAGGUAG
rnacentral:rRNA from 1 species